UUAAAUUGAAGAGUUUGAUCAUGGCUCAGAUUGAACGCUGGCGGCAGGCCUAACACAUGCAAGUCGGACGGUAGCACAGAGAGCUUGCUCUCGGGUGACGAGUGGCGGACGGGUGAGUAAUGUCUGGGGAUCUGCCCGAUAGAGGGGGAUAACCACUGGAAACGGUGGCUAAUACCGCAUAACGUC
rnacentral:rRNA from 1 species